GAUGAACGCUAGCUACAGGCUUAACACAUGCAAGUCGAGGGGAAACGAUAGAGAAAGCUUGCUUUUUCUAGGCGUCGACCGGCGCACGGGUGAGUAACGCGUAUCCAACCUGCCCACCACUUGGGGAUAACCUUGCGAAAGUAAGACUAAUACCCAAUGACGUCUCUAGAAGACAUCUGAAAGAGAUUAAAGAUUUAUCGGUGAUGGAUGGGGAUGCGUCUGAUUAGCUUGUUGGCGGGGUAACGGCCCACCAAGGCGACGAUCAGUAGGGGUUCUGAGAGGAAGGUCCCCCACAUUGGAACUGAGACACGGUCCAAACUCCUACGGGAGCAGCAGUGAGGAAUAUUGGUCAAUGGACGAGAGUCUGAACCAGCCAAGUAGCGUGCAGGAUGACGGCCCUAUGGGUUGUAAACUGCUUUUAUAAGGGAAUAAAGUGAGUCUCGUGAGACUUUUUGCAUGUACCUUAUGAAUAAGGACCGGCUAAUUCCGUG
rnacentral:rRNA from 1 species